rnacentral:rRNA from 1 species
AUACGGAGGGUGCAAGCGUUAAUCGGAAUUACUGGGCGUAAAGCGCGCGUAGGCGGCUACUUAAGUCAGAUGUGAAAUCCCCGGGCUCAACCUGGGAACUGCAUCUGAUACUGGGUAGCUAGAGUUUAGGAGAGGGAAGUAGAAUUUCAGGUGUAGCGGUGAAAUGCAUAGAGAUCUGAAGGAAUACCAGUGGCGAAGGCGGCUUCCUGGCCUAAAACUGACGCUGAGGUGCGAAAGCGUGGGUAGCAAACGGGAUUAGAAACCCCAGUAGUCC